rnacentral:rRNA from 1 species
UACGGGGGGGCAAGCGUUGUUCGGAAUUACUGGGCGUAAAGGGCUCGUAGGCGGCCAACUAAGUCAGACGUGAAAUCCCUCGGCUUAACCGGGGAACUGCGUCUGAUACUGGUUGGCUUGAAUCCGGGAGAGGGAUGUGGAAUUCCAGGUGUAGCGGUGAAAUGCGCAGAUAUCAGGAGGAACACCGGUGGCGAAGGCGGGUCUCUGGGCCGAUACUGACGCUGAGGAGCGAAAGCGUGGGGAGCGAACAGG